AUUAAACGCUGGCGGCAUGCUUUACACAUGCAAGUCGGACGGCAGCACAGAGAAGCUUGCUUCUUGGGUGGCGAGUGGCGAACGGGUGAGUAAUAUAUCGGAACGUACCGAGUAAUGGGGGAUAACUAAUCGAAAGAUUAGCUAAUACCGCAUAUUCUCUGAGGAGGAAAGCAGGGGACCUUCGGGCCUUGCGUUAUUCGAGCGGCCGAUAUCUGGUUAGCUAGUUGGUGGGGUAAAGGCCUACCAAGGCGACGAUCAGUAGCGGGUCUGAGAGGAUGAUCCGCCACACUGGGACUGAGACACGGCCCAGACUCCUACGGGAGGCAGCAGUGGGGAAUUUUGGACAAUGGGCGCAAGCCUGAUCCAGCCAUGCCGCGUGUCUGAAGAAGGCCUUCGGGUUGUAAAGGACUUUUGUCAGGGAAGAAAAGGCUGUUGCUAAUACCGACAGCUGAUGACGGUACCUAAGAAUAGCACGG
rnacentral:rRNA from 1 species